AAGUCGUCGGGUGCACAUCGCGAGUCAACCGCGGACGAAGUUACUUCUUGAAGAGCCGGCGAACGAUCAAGCCAACAACGGACAAAGUCCCGCUGAGGCAUUAAAGAGAGAAAACCAAGAAAGGCCCUCCAGAGAGGGCUUUUUUUUCCUGUUUCUUUUUCAUGUUUGUGUGCUGUGGUGCGGUGUUCCGAAUUUCGGCGGCAUCGGAUUCGAACGGACUGUUCGGAAACGUGCAAGUCGGCACGGGAAGGACUGGAGCGGCUUGAGGAUUGGUAGCUGGGAGCGGUGGCGGACUGGUGUUGCUGGACGGACGCCGUGAAGACCGGAUGGCAGUCAAGUGAGCUAGACUAAGUAACGUGGGGUCGCACGGAGCGCGAAAUGCCCGGCGACAAAAGUUGACAGGGAAUGAAAAGCAUAGGAGAUUAGAGCGGGACGGGAUGAAGAAGGAAGGAAAAUACACAGAAGUUGUUUGGGUAGAUUUGUGGCCAAUUUUCUUCAAUUUUUGGUAAAACCUUUUUAUGAUGAGGUUAGCAUAUAGAGAAAAACCUACAACACAAUCUUCAACGAAGUUUUUGCACGAGAAUAAACAAUAUUUUCACACUUUCAAAGUGAUUCACUUCCAGCAAGACAAUAAGUUUGAUAACUGUUAACAACAACAAGCGGAUUCCGUGGCCAUGUGACUGAUAUACGAUUAUUUCACACGCUGUCCUUGGGUACUAAAGUUUAUUUGGCUACCAAAAUAAAUUUCUUAUUAACUUACAUGAUAGUCGUUACACGCAAUUAAGCUCUUAAAGAAUGUACAGAAUUCGGAACAAAACAUAACACUGUCAGGGCGAAUAAAACUAGGAUUUGGUGUAAAAUGUUU